AUUGAACGCUGGCGGCAGGCCUAACACAUGCAAGUCGAACGAGUGGCGGACGGGUGAGUAAUGUCUGGGAAACUGCCUGAUGGAGGGGGAUAACUACUGGAAACGGUAGCUAAUACCGCAUACCAUCGGAUGUGCCCCUAUGGGAUUAGCUCGUAGGGGGGGUAACGGCUCACCUAGGCGACGAUCCCUAGCUGGUCUGCGAGGAUGACCAGCCACACGGGAAAUGAGACACGGUACAGACUCCUACGUGAGGCAGCAGUGGGGAAUAGUGCACAAUGGGCGCAAGCCUGAUGCAGCCAUGCCGCGUGUAUGAAGAAGGCCUUCGGGUUGUAAAGUACUUUCAGCGGGGAGGCGUUACCCGCAGAAGAAGCACCGGCUAACUCCGUGCCAGCAGCCGCGGUAAUAC
rnacentral:rRNA from 1 species